UAUAAAAAUCCAGUCCGUGAUAAAUAAAUUGCGGACUGCACAAUUUAAAAUAAAAUACAAUGGACCGUGAAUUAAACGAAUUUAACUAACGAUUCUCCCUGAUAUUAAUUCAAUUACAAAAUAAAGAUCCAGCAGAUAUCUUCAACCUCCGUAAUCUACAAAUAAAAUACCAAAUAAAAUCAAUUAAAUCAAAAACCCCCUCAAUACAUGUCUAAACCGUUCUUCCCUCUCUCCCCACUCCCCAAAUCUCUCCAACCUCUCAACUAAAUCAUCUACUCCUCUAUAUUAGUUGCUGCACAUUUCGUCCCUCCCAUCCCUGCAUCAAACAAAGAAUUCUCUUCAAAUUCCUACUCAAGGUAAUCUUGCAAACUCCAUCUCUGUACACGUUUUUGCUUCUGAAUCAACUCGUCAAACUCAUUGAAAUUUUUGAAUAGGACCGAGACAGAGAUUCAAGAACCAUUCCUUUCAAAUCCUUGCAGAUUUUGAUUUCUCAUUCACAGAGGUGAGACUUCACAAGGGAAUCGAGAUACCAAAGGGAAGGAAGUGUAGAGAAUUAAGCAAUUGAGGUUGAGCGGCGACGAGAGUACGGUGGUGUUGAGCAAGUCAAUUGGUAAAUGAACUAUUGUUUUUGAAUUAUGGGUGUCGUUGUGUCUUCACACAUGACGUCACUCUUUCUCUUGGUCGUUUCCGCUAUGACAUUUCUUUCACUUAUCGUUUAUUGGGCUUGCAACCUAAAUUAUUUGGAUAUUGAAUAUUUGGGAUUUUACUAAUUUAUGUCAAAUUCUUGGUCGUUUUAUUUGAAUAUUAAUUGUUGGUCAAGCUCGUUAUUAAAACCCUAGUCCUUUUCAUCUUUUUAUUUAAUUUUCUUAAUCACGAUCGCCCAUAUUUAUUAACCCUAAAGGGCGGUCGUGACAUGUACA